rnacentral:rRNA from 1 species
UUGCUGACGAAGUGGCGGACGGGUGAGUAAUGCUUGGGAACUUGCCUUUGGGAGGGGGAUAACAGAGGGACGACUGCUAAUACCGCAUAACGUCUACGGACCAAAGGGGGCUUAGGCUCCUACCUGAAGAGAGGCCCAAGUGAGAUUAGCUAGUUGGUGAGGUAAAGGCUCACCAAGGCGACGAUCUCUAGCUGUUCUGAGAGGAAGAUCAGCCACACUGGGACUGAGACACGGCCCAGACUCCUACGGGAGGCAGCAGUGGGGAAUAUUGCACAAUGGGGGAAACCCUGAUGCAGCCAUGCCGCGUGUGUGAAGAAGGCCUUCGGGUUGUAAAGCACUUUCAGUUGUGAGGAAAGGUUGGUAGUUAAUACCUGCCAGCUGUGACGUUAACAGACAGAAGAAGCACCGGCUAACUCCGUGCCAGCAGCCGCGGUAAUACGGAGGGUGCGAGCGUUAAUCGGAAUUACUGGGCGUAAAGCGGACGCAGGCGGUUUGUUAAGCUAGAUGUGAAAGCCCCGGGCUCAACCUGGGAUGGUCAUUUAGAACUGGCAGACUAGAGUCUUGGAGAGGGGAGUGGAAUUCCAGGUGUAGCGGUGAAAUGCGUAGAUAUCUGGAGGUCAGUGGCGAAGGCGACUCCCUGGCCAAAGACUG